rnacentral:rRNA from 1 species
GAUGAACGCUGGCGGCGUGCCUAAUACAUGCAAGUCGAGCGAACAGAUGAGGAGCUUGCUCCUCUGACGUUAGCGGCGGACGGGUGAGUAACACGUGGAUAACCUACCUAUAAGACUGGGAUAACUUCGGGAAACCGGAGCUAAUACCGGAUAAUAUAUUGAACCGCAUGGUUCAAUAGUGAAAGACGGUUUUGCUGUCACUUAUAGAUGGAUCCGCGCCGCAUUAGCUAGUUGGUAAGGUAACGGCUUAUCAAGGCGACGAUGCGUAGCCGACCUGAGAGGGUGAUCGGCCACACUGGAACUGAGACACGGUCCAGACUCCUACGGGAGGCAGCAGUAGGGAAUCUUCCGCAAUGGGCGAAAGCCUGACGGAGCAACGCCGCGUGAGUGAUGAAGGUCUUCGGAUCGUAAAACUCUGUUAUUAGGGAAGAACAAAUGUGUAAGUAACUAUGCACGUCUUGACGGUACCUAAUCAGAAAGCCACGGCUAACUACGUG